AAGUCGUAACAAGGUCUCCGUAGGUGAACCUGCGGAGGGAUCAUUAACACUGUAAACAAAGUAGAGGUAUGGCUGCAAAGUCACACUUUCUCACUUUUGUUAUCAACCAACUCGUGAACGAAACAUUAUGUUACCUCUCUCUCACUUAGCUAUUGUGAUCAAAAGCAUAGCUAUGUGUUAGUUUUUAUUAUAUUUUUGUUAUUAUACAAACCAACAACAACAACAGUAUAACCAUGUAUCACUAUGUAUGUUUACUCAUACUUUUGAUAUUGAUAGUUAACAACAUAAGCACAACUCUUAGCAACGGAUAUCUCGGUUCUCGUAACGAUGAAGAACGCC
rnacentral:misc_RNA from 1 species